AGAAAAUUUCUUUGUUCAUUUUAUUUUCAGUUUUUUUUUCUAAUCCACUACACACUAUUUUUUUUUAAGUAUCAUCCAGUCCACGCAAUGUUUUAUCUGCUCUGUUAAAAUUCCACUAGCAUGGACAAAACACUUUCGGAGCUCUCCUCUGGUUUGACCCAGCGACACAUUAUUUGAUUUUCUUGUUUGAUUGGCCUGUCGACCAAAAAUCUGUGCUAGCCUCAUAGCUCUGGCAAUUGCAGAUUGUAUUGAAUGGCAUUCCUGGGGAUAUUAUUUGCAGUCUUAGUCCCUGUGAAUGAGUUGUGCCCUGCAACUUCCAACGCAAGCACUAUAUCAUUCUAUUGGCUCCCUUUCUGAACCAUAGCAGCUGUGACAUCCCAUUCAGGUCUGAAGGAGAGAGAUCAUUUAAUAUUUUCUAUGUCUUCUCCAAAUGAAUUCAAUUGGCAUAUAUAUUAUUUAGGCAACCGGUCAAUUGGUGUAUUGACCGGUCAUGCCUUUUAGGCAUGACCGAUCAAUGCACCCAUUGAUCGGUGCCUUUACAAUUAUACCAUUAACACAAUGCUGAUUAUCGGUUCAAAAACCCCCGAUAGCAUAUUGUAAUAUCAUAAUAUAAUGACUGAUCUAUUUAAUGAAUCGGUUUAGAUAAACAUCGAUGAUUCAAAGUGCACGAUGAAUAUAAUCCAACCGGUGCAUUUGUUAACCAAUGUUUAAUGCCAAAUGAAGCGGUGUAUUCAUUAAACCCGAUAACAAAUA